GAUGAUGCCAAUUGGAUGCCUUUAAUCGGUCUGCGAGCGUGGGCUUAGGAGCACGGGCGCUACGUGAACGGGUGGCGGCGAGAGGAGACGGGGUUGGGGUUGGGGCGGCGGCGGAGUUAGGGUGGCGGCGGCCGGAGGAGGAGGAGAUCGCGGCGGCGAGGUCGGGGAGUGGAAGAGUCGGACCUAGGCGCGCUGUUCCACACCCCGAUACCCUCUCUUCCGAGGUAUAGCUGUAGCGGCAGGCCUCGAUGUAGUAGCUGCCGGAGUUACCCCCGAAACCGCUCUCGAGGACCAGAAAGCAGCGGCGGCGGCCCAGCCCUGACGGCUAGCCCUGAGGCAGCCUAGGCGACAGCGGCUGGGUGCAGGGUCAGGAGAGGAAGGAGAGUGUCAAGUACUCCGCUGUGGUGUACUCCUCCGAUCUUGUCGUACUCGUUAGAGUAGGCACGGUCAGACACGCAGCGAAGAGUGCGGUUCGGUUUCCAGUAGAACGACGGGACAACCGUCUAAGUACACAUGUUAUAAUCACAAGUAUAGUCAGACUGUCUAAGUACACACAGACAAGUCAUAAGUUUCAAUUCCUUAAGUUCACUAUGUAUAUAACAAACUUUAUAGUAACGAUAAGGUACUAGCCAAGGUAAGUAGGUGGUAAAUUACAAAAGUAAAAAGAUAAAAUGUCAUCAAGGGAGAUACCUUGACAUGAUUGUUCUAAUAUAAGUCAAUUACAGGUCUACGUUCAAGUACUUACGACAAGUAAAAUGAACUCUUCUUGAUUAAGUGUACCACUUCUUGUUGACGACCUAAUAUUAAAAUAUUCGGAAACAUGUCUUAUGUUCGUAUGAGUAGCUAAUUACAAUCUAUACAUCAUAGUUCACUUCAUCAUAUUUAAACGUAGCGGUGUGGUCGGUUGUCCUCGCCGUCGUUAUCGUCCCACAGCGUCUAACUGGACCUCCAACAGGGCUCCCCGCGCUGUGACGGUCACCUCUACAUGUCCACUUCCUCCUCCUGCACCCCUGAUUCCACCAACAUACCAUCUACCGCCUCCACCUGUUCUACUUGUAAACCAAGCUGUCCCACCACCAACAGCAGUUGCCGACCCUCUGCUUCGUUGUUCUAACUCCAAGUGAAACCUUAAACAGAGUAACUUCCCUAGAACUUAAGAUGUGGUACAAUGCUGACUAUAGGGACCUUAAACACUAGUGUUACAAUCACGAUGGUAACAGUACGUCGAGUUGGACCCUGGCUCGUGUCUACGGUGACGCAUAACGAUUUUAAAUGUCCUUUACGUCUUUUUAUCUCCAUGUCGUUAACUCGUUACGUGUCAAGGGUUUUACACACGGUGUAUCAAGAUACAACUUGUAUAUCUUGAUGAAUACAAGGUAUAAGUGGGAUUUUGAAGAGAUUUCUACACGGUAAUUGCUGCCACUGCUCAAACCUUACCCCUCACCUCUAUCGCCACUUCUUCUACUUCUUCUUCCCACUAAAUAUUGUACUUUGUUUUCAACUGUUAUAGUAAAUUACACGUACUCCUAGAAUCUCUAUAUGUACAACGUGUACUAAACAAUACGGGGCGACGCCUAGACCCGCGGGGGAGUGGAACUGUUCUAAAAUGGAUGUGAGUUAACCUAUUAAUUCAUGUCAAACUAAUCAUACUGUUCAGUACAGUCGUCCUACUUAUAAAUGUUCCAAAUAAUAGAGGGUCCUUCUGUUCAUCCUUCAUACAAACGUUCAAAAGUACUGAUUUAAUAUGUUAAUAUAUUUGACACACAAGACGAACUUCAAACAGUCAAUUUUAGUACAACUGAGCGGAUGACAAAUUUCCAAGAUAAAACUAGUAUAUUAAUCCAAAUGUAGAACUGAGCGAACUAAACUAUUUAAGGUAAGAAUGGUUCCCAGUAGUAAACAUAUAAAGGAGAAGCCUCCCACUAGAGCAGCGGGUGCCUCUUCGUUAGGUUCCUCUUCUCUCAUCCAAGACGCGGGUUGGAGUCGAGGUAUAGUUUCCUCCCCUUCACCGACGCUCGUACGGUAGUCGCAACCCAGCUACCACAACACGGAGCCGUCGACCCUAGUACGUUCCGUCUACCCUUCGUCGUCACGGCGGAGAGGGGGGCUCGAGGUCUAUGUACUAUCGUCGUAGCUCCUCCUCUUUUUGACGUAAGUCUCCAAUGCCUUACCGUUACCCACCCAAUGGAGGGUCCUCGUCUACUGACCGUACCAAUCACUAGUGAUCCGGUACUUAGAGUACCUAGGGUACUAUGUCCAUAGACCAGGUCUAGGCUGCCUCUGUUCGUUUUAGCACGACGAAGAAGAAGAAAGCUAACUUUUAGGUCCACUUUUGAAAGUCCUUGAGUCCUGCUGUGCGUAACUAAUAUAAAGUAACACUACCGGCAACGGCUGUGUCGAUGAUACCCAUGUUCGUUGAAGAUAAAGCGAGCAGUGGCCUUUGGUGGCGGGUCUAGGUAGAGAAGAGUUGGUACGGCUGCACCACCAGUCCCCGCGAAUGUUGAACACUCCCGGACGUAAGAGCGACAACUAGGCACUACCGUACCGGAGGGGCGCGGGAUCGGCGCAAGAUUGACUACCAAACCCAGACGGUCGCCUCCCUCUCCCCUGCUGGAGACAGCGAGGAAGAGAGAUCGGAGAAGUAGAACUACUUCGGCAUCCUCAUCUCCCCGUGCGCGCACUACCUAGACGAGGUUCGUGGAGUUCGGUGCGUAGAAGUUCCACUAGUGAAGUAGGUGUAAGUUAGAGUCAAGGGCGCAAAUGAGCUCCUCUCAAGUUUUCGUCGUUCUCGUCAACAAGAUAACGACCAGCCUCCCUCUCGAACCGUUCCCUCUAUCUCCCUCGAGAUGUUGGUGCUAGAACCGUAUGUUGGGCUACCGUAGUACGGGUGGAACACACAAAGUAACUACCUCCUCCAUAUUUAGACAAGGAAUUUCGCUCGUUUAGUUUUGUUUUUGCGUCCUCCAUAGGCUGUUGUGACUGCUGGCGAUGCGGUAAGGUGAAUCUGGACUCCCGUUGUAGUUUCCUACGGUGGCCGUCGUCUCUAGUUGUUCAAGAAGUGGCAGCCCCUCUUCCACCUCCAGCUUACAAAGUGGCAGUUCACGUCUGAAUAGCAAGUCGAUGUCAGUGAACUAGUAGCAGUGUCUGUGGCGGUGUGAUUCUUAACACGUCGACGAGAUGAAAGUCCAUGUUUUAACCUGUAGUACACUCCACAAUACGAGUUGGGGUCGGUCAAGUUUCCGUUGUGACCACCACCAGGAGACUCAUACGUUUACUGUAUUCUCACCCGUGACGUUAUUAUGUACGAUUAUCCACGUCAAAGUAGAGCUCGUCUCCUCGUGACGUUAUCAUGUACGAUGAGAGUCGCUGAUGAUUGGACUUCAACGUGAGUCCGAGAGCGUAUAUGAUUUCUCACAGUAGUUACCUUGUUUAUUUCAGAACUAUUGAUCUUCCGGUAAGGCUAAGGUCAUACCAUUUAUAAGCUACCCACUGUUUCCCAGGGCUCCCUCGAGCAAACACAACUGUUGUGAGUCGUAUAAGACGUUUAUAGGAGACUCAAGUGGUAGGUACUCGACGUUCAGUACAAAAGACCACGAUGUUCAUAUUUUUCCAAGUAUAAACAAAAUAAUUGGAAAACACCACAACAAGGUUAUGGAAAACCUCAAAACCGGAUUUUCCCGAGAGACUUUGUGACUCUGUUUGUUUCGAUUUUAAACCUCAUACUAAUUCGUCAGGUCAGUCGCAAUGAUUAGGGGUGAACUCGAACUGACAUAAAGGACCGAAUUACAAACUCUAAGAUACAUAUCGUUUUUAUACACGUCUUAAAGUAAAUUCAAACUUUCGGUUAGCUAAGGUAUGAAACUCGACCUUUCACCAGGGAUAAGACUUAACCAUAAACCUAGGGUUUGUAUUGAGGGAUACUUGUAUAUUCCUUUAAAAUCAACACUUUGCUGUGAACAACAUGUACGGUAUAACGAUAUACUC
rnacentral:rRNA from 1 species